AGAGUUUGAUCAUGGCUCAGAUUGAACGCUGGCGGCAGGCCUAACACAUGCAAGUCGAACGGUAACAGGAAGAAGCUUGCUUCUUUGCUGACGAGUGGCGGACGGGUGAGUAAUGUCUGGGAAACUGCCUGAUGGAGGGGGAUAACUACUGGAAACGGUAGCUAAUACCGCAUAACGUCGCAAGACCAAAGAGGGGGACCUUCGGGCCUCUUGCCAUCGGAUGUGCCCAGAUGGGAUUAGCUUGUUGGUGGGGUAACGGCUCACCAAGGCGACGAUCCCUAGCUGGUCUGAGAGGAUGACCAGCCACACUGGAACUGAGACACGGUCCAGACUCCUACGGGAGGCAGCAGUGGGGAAUAUUGCACAAUGGGCGCAAGCCUGAUGCAGCCAUGCCGCGUGUAUGAAGAAGGCCUUCGGGUUGUAAAGUACUUUCAGCGGGGAGGAAGGGAGUAAAGUUAAUACCUUUGCUCAUUGACGUUACCCGCAGAAGAAGCACCGGCUAACUCCGUGCCAGCAGCCGCGGUAAUACGGAGGGUGCAAGCGUUAAUCGGAAUUACUGGGCGUAAAGCGCACGCAGGCGGUUUGUUAAGUCAGAUGUGAAAUCCCCGGGCUCAACCUGGGAACUGCAUCUGAUACUGGCAAGCUUGAGUCUCGUAGAGGGGGGUAGAAUUCCAGGUGUAGCGGUGAAAUGCGUAGAGAUCUGGAGGAAUACCGGUGGCGAAGGCGGCCCCCUGGACGAAGACUGACGCUCAGGUGCGAAAGCGUGGGGAGCAAACAGGAUUAGAUACCCUGGUAGUCCACGCCGUAAACGAUGUCGACUUGGAGGUUGUGCCCUUGAGGCGUGGCUUCCGGAGCUAACGCGUUAAGUCGACCGCCUGGGGAGUACGGCCGCAAGGUUAAAACUCAAAUGAAUUGACGGGGGCCCGCACAAGCGGUGGAGCAUGUGGUUUAAUUCGAUGCAACGCGAAGAACCUUACCUGGUCUUGACAUCCACGGAAGUUUUCAGAGAUGAGAAUGUGCCUUCGGGAACCGUGAGACAGGUGCUGCAUGGCUGUCGUCAGCUCGUGUUGUGAAAUGUUGGGUUAAGUCCCGCAACGAGCGCAACCCUUAUCCUUUGUUGCCAGCGGUCCGGCCGGGAACUCAAAGGAGACUGCCAGUGAUAAACUGGAGGAAGGUGGGGAUGACGUCAAGUCAUCAUGGCCCUUACGACCAGGGCUACACACGUGCUACAAUGGCGCAUACAAAGAGAAGCGACCUCGCGAGAGCAAGCGGACCUCAUAAAGUGCGUCGUAGUCCGGAUUGGAGUCUGCAACUCGACUCCAUGAAGUCGGAAUCGCUAGUAAUCGUGGAUCAGAAUGCCACGGUGAAUACGUUCCCGGGCCUUGUACACACCGCCCGUCACACCAUGGGAGUGGGUUGCAAAAGAAGUAGGUAGCUUAACCUUCGGGAGGGCGCUUACCACUUUGUGAUUCAUGACUGGGGUGAAGUCGUAACAAGGUAACCGUAGGGGAACCUGCGGUU
rnacentral:rRNA from 1 species